CUGUAGGACCCCAAUACUCUGUCAGCCCCCUCACAAUCUCACUUUACUCUUUUCUUCAGAAAAAUAGUUCCUCUCCUGUCUCUCUCUACGAAAGCAAAAGCUCUGCUAGAGCAUAGAGAACUUCCACCCUCGAGCUAGCUCAACUGUUUUCCUCUGCUCACCAUCCUAGUUCGUGGAGCUGUUGUGCCUAAGUUGCGCUCUUUCAGUUGCUGCUCCUUUUCUUGCAUCUGAAAAGAUGGGGGAAAUCCUGGAAAUAGGCCUGGUGGUAGCAGUGGUGCAGCUUAGUAAAUAGUAUAUGUGACUCUUAGGAACAGUUCUUUGGCCUAGUGCCCUUUUGUAAUUCCAUGCUCUUGAGGGGCAUUGCUGCUUUUUUGUAAUACUGAUAAAACUCCUUUAGGUUAUGCUUUGUUAGAGGCAAUUGUUAAUGUGCUUCACCAUCUUUUAAGUACUUCCUGGAUGACUGUAAUAGUGGAUUUCCUUAUGUUCCCUGUUCAUCUAAU